CUCUCGUGGAGGCAGCUAGCGCGAGGCUGGGGAGCGCUGAGCCGCGCAUCGUGCCCUGCACUGCCCAGACUAGCGAACAAUACAGUCAGGAUGGCUAAAGGUGACCCCAAGAAACCAAAGGGCAAGAUGUCUGCUUAUGCCUUCUUCGUGCAGACAUGCAGGGAAGAACACAAGAAGAAAAACCCAGAGGUUCCAGUCAAUUUUGAGGAGUUUUCCAAGAAGUGCUCUGAGAGGUGGAAGACAAUGUCUAGCAAAGAGAAAUCAAAGUUUGAUGAAAUGGCAAAGGCUGAUGUACGCUAUGAUCGAGAAAUGAAGGAUUAUGGACCAGCUAAAGGAGGCAAGAAGAAGAAGGACCCGAAUGCCCCCAAA